UUAAGCGACUAAGCGUACACGGUGGAUGCCCUGGCAGUCAGAGGCGAUGAAGGACGUGCUAAUCUGCGAAAAGCGUCGGUAAGGUGAUAUGAACCGUUAUAACCGGCGAUGUCCGAAUGGGGAAACCCAGUGUGUUUCGACACACUAUCAUUAACUGAAUCCAUAGGUUAAUGAGGCGAACCGGGGGAACUGAAACAUCUAAGUACCCCGAGGAAAAGAAAUCAACCGAGAUUCCCCCAGUAGCGGCGAGCGAACGGGGAGGAGCCCAGAGCCUGAAUCAGUGUGUGUGUUAGUGGAAGCGUCUGGAAAGGCGCGCGAUACAGGGUGACAGCCCCGUACACAAAAAUGCACAUGCUGUGAGCUCGAUGAGUAGGGCGGGACACGUGGUAUCCUGUCUGAAUAUGGGGGGACCAUCCUCCAAGGCUAAAUACUCCUGACUGACCGAUAGUGAACCAGUACCGUGAGGGAAAGGCGAAAAGAACCCCGGCGAGGGGAGUGAAAAAGAACCUGAAACCGUGUACGUACAAGCAGUGGGAGCCCUGAUUUAUCAGGGUGACUGCGUACCUUUUGUAUAAUGGGUCAGCGACUUAUAUUCUGUAGCAAGGUUAACCGAAUAGGGGAGCCGGAGGGAAACCGAGUCUUAACUGGGCGUUAAGUUGCAGGGUAUAGACCCGAAACCCGGUGAUCUAGCCAUGGGCAGGUUGAAGGUUGGGUAACACUAACUGGAGGACCGAACCGACUAAUGUUGAAAAAUUAGCGGAUGACUUGUGGCUGGGGGUGAAAGGCCAAUCAAACCGGGAGAUAGCUGGUUCUCCCCGAAAGCUAUUUAGGUAGCGCCUCGUGAAUUCAUCUCCGGGGGUAGAGCACUGUUUCGGCAAGGGGGUCAUCCCGACUUACCAACCCGAUGCAAACUGCGAAUACCGGAGAAUGUUAUCACGGGAGACACACGGCGGGUGCUAACGUCCGUCGUGAAGAGGGAAACAACCCAGACCGCCAGCUAAGGUCCCAAAGUCAUGGUUAAGUGGGAAACGAUGUGGGAAGGCCCAGACAGCCAGGAUGUUGGCUUAGAAGCAGCCAUCAUUUAAAGAAAGCGUAAUAGCUCACUGGUCGAGUCGGCCUGCGCGGAAGAUGUAACGGGGCUAAACCAUGCACCGAAGCUGCGGCAGCGACACUGUGUGUUGUUGGGUAGGGGAGCGUUCUGUAAGCCUGUGAAGGUGUGCUGUGAGGCAUGCUGGAGGUAUCAGAAGUGCGAAUGCUGACAUAAGUAACGAUAAAGCGGGUGAAAAGCCCGCUCGCCGGAAGACCAAGGGUUCCUGUCCAACGUUAAUCGGGGCAGGGUGAGUCGACCCCUAAGGCGAGGCCGAAAGGCGUAGUCGAUGGGAAACAGGUUAAUAUUCCUGUACUUGGUGUUACUGCGAAGGGGGGACGGAGAAGGCUAUGUUGGCCGGGCGACGGUUGUCCCGGUUUAAGCGUGUAGGCUGGUUUUCCAGGCAAAUCCGGAGAAUCAAGGCUGAGGCGUGAUGACGAGGCACUACGGUGCUGAAGCAACAAAUGCCCUGCUUCCAGGAAAAGCCUCUAAGCAUCAGGUAACAUCAAAUCGUACCCCAAACCGACACAGGUGGUCAGGUAGAGAAUACCAAGGCGCUUGAGAGAACUCGGGUGAAGGAACUAGGCAAAAUGGUGCCGUAACUUCGGGAGAAGGCACGCUGAUAUGUAGGUGAAGCGAGUUGCUCGUGGAGCUGAAAUCAGUCGAAGAUACCAGCUGGCUGCAACUGUUUAUUAAAAACACAGCACUGUGCAAACACGAAAGUGGACGUAUACGGUGUGACGCCUGCCCGGUGCCGGAAGGUUAAUUGAUGGGGUCAGCGCAAGCGAAGCUCUUGAUCGAAGCCCCGGUAAACGGCGGCCGUAACUAUAACGGUCCUAAGGUAGCGAAAUUCCUUGUCGGGUAAGUUCCGACCUGCACGAAUGGCGUAAUGAUGGCCAGGCUGUCUCCACCCGAGACUCAGUGAAAUUGAACUCGCUGUGAAGAUGCAGUGUACCCGCGGCAAGACGGAAAGACCCCGUGAACCUUUACUAUAGCUUGACACUGAACACUGGUCCUUGAUGUGUAGGAUAGGUGGGAGGCUUUGAAGUGUGGACGCCAGUCUGCAUGGAGCCGUCCUUGAAAUACCACCCUUUAAUGGCUGGUGUUCUAACGUGGGCCCGUAAUCCGGGUUGCGGACAGUGUCUGGUGGGUAGUUUGACUGGGGCGGUCUCCUCCUAAAGAGUAACGGAGGAGCACGAAGGUUGGCUAAUCCUGGUCGGACAUCAGGAGGUUAGUGCAAUGGCAUAAGCCAGCUUGACUGCGAGCGUGACGGCGCGAGCAGGUGCGAAAGCAGGUCAUAGUGAUCCGGUGGUUCUGAAUGGAAGGGCCAUCGCUCAACGGAUAAAAGGUACUCCGGGGAUAACAGGCUGAUACCGCCCAAGAGUUCAUAUCGACGGCGGUGUUUGGCACCUCGAUGUCGGCUCAUCACAUCCUGGGGCUGAAGUAGGUCCCAAGGGUAUGGCUGUUCGCCAUUUAAAGUGGUACGCGAGCUGGGUUUAGAACGUCGUGAGACAGUUCGGUCCCUAUCUGCCGUGGGCGCUGGAGAACUGAGGGGGGCUGCUCCUAGUACGAGAGGACCGGAGUGGACGCAUCACUGGUGUUCGGGUUGUCAUGCCAAUGGCACUGCCCGGUAGCUAAAUGCGGAAGAGAUAAGUGCUGAAAGCAUCUAAGCACGAAACUUGCCCCGAGAUGAGUUCUCCCUGAGACUUAGAGUCUCCUGAAGGAACGUUGAAGACGACGACGUUGAUAGGCCGGGUGUGUAAGCGCAGCGAUGCGUUGAGCUAACCGGUACUAAUGAACCGUGAGGCUUAACCUU
rnacentral:rRNA from 1 species